ensembl:lncRNA
CUAUAAUUGAAAUCAUUAAAUCAUUUUAAUCAAUCAUUAAAAGUUUUACUUAAAAAAGAUUUGUCAGACAUUGUGAGAAACAAAUGCCUCAAGAAAACAGUCCGCUUCUCUGACCAUGCCUGACUUGGACCGAACCUCUAGAGACUGACCAUAUAGAGCUUCAAUCCUGACCUUGUUUACGGCUGUUGACCAAACAAUCUCAUCUCAAGGUCCACUUUACUCAGUUUUUCCGGUGAGUUUGACCAACGGUUGAAGAUCAAGGGCCAGUUCUGGAUAAAGAUAUGUCUGUUACCAAGGCAGGCGGCAGGUUGAGGCAGAGUGAGACAGCAGAAUCCUGCAGCAUUAUAUCAGAUGAGGUACAAUGGUGUGCAGGAAAGACAACGUUUUGUGAUGAGAAGGAGGAGGGCGGUGAAAAUGGGAGCAGGGCAGACGGGAAGAGAGAGACUUUAGAUGAGGAGAGAAGAGCUAAAAGUAAGAAACCCGUCAAUGUUUCCUGGGUACCGUUGCAGCGGAUACGAGGCGGGAUGCCAGUUGAAGUUAUGAUUGUGACUGUGCAGUACGACUCAGAGGGAGAGCCAUGCAGUUAUUGAGUCUCAUAGACGUACAGUAUGCAUGCACUGUUACAGGUGUAGACGGAGGAUGUCAUCCCAUACAGACGGCUGCACUCUAAUCUAGUGUGUGGUUUAUAUCCUUUAUAUACACAAUUUCACAAGACAGUAUUUGUUAUUUUGAAGAACCGAUCAGAAUGUAUAGUUCAUUCGCUGGGGAGAGAGUUGUGUCAAUUUAAUCUAGAGAAAUCACGGCUACACAAUUAAAAACAGUCAAUUUUCUUCUAUGCCGCUGCUCCUUAGAGGGUCGCGGG